rnacentral:rRNA from 2 species
AAAUUGAAGAGUUUGAUCAUGGCUCAGAUUGAACGCUGGCGGCAGGCCUAACACAUGCAAGUCGAACGGUAACAGGAAGCAGCUUGCUGCUUCGCUGACGAGUGGCGGACGGGUGAGUAAUGUCUGGGAAACUGCCUGAUGGAGGGGGAUAACUACUGGAAACGGUGGCUAAUACCGCAUAACGUCGCAAGACCAAAGAGGGGGACCUUCGGGCCUCUUGCCAUCAGAUGUGCCCAGAUGGGAUUAGCUUGUUGGUGAGGUAACGGCUCACCAAGGCGACGAUCCCUAGCUGGUCUGAGAGGAUGACCAGCCACACUGGAACUGAGACACGGUCCAGACUCCUACGGGAGGCAGCAGUGGGGAAUAUUGCACAAUGGGCGCAAGCCUGAUGCAGCCAUGCCGCGUGUAUGAAGAAGGCCUUCGGGUUGUAAAGUACUUUCAGCGGGGAGGAAGGUGUUGCGGUUAAUAACCGCAGCAAUUGACGUUACCCGCAGAAGAAGCACCGGCUAACUCCGUGCCAGCAGCCGCGGUAAUACGGAGGGUGCAAGCGUUAAUCGGAAUUACUGGGCGUAAAGCGCACGCAGGCGGUCUGU